GAUGAACGCUGGCGGCGUGCCUAAUACAUGCAAGUCGAGCGAACAGACGAGGAGCUUGCUCCUCUGACGUUAGCGGCGGACGGGUGAGUAAAACGUGGAUAACCUACCUAUAAAACUGGGAUAACUUCGGGAAAACGGAGCUAAUACCGGAUAAUAUAUUGAACAGCAUGGUUCAAUAGUUAAAGACGGUUUUGCUGUCACUUAUAGAUGGAUCCGCGCCGCAUUAGCUAGUUGGUAAGGUAACGGCUUACCAAGGCAACGAUGCGUAGCCGACCUGAGAGGGUGAUCGGCCACACUGGAACUGAGACACGGUCCAGACUCCGACGGGAGGCAGCAGUAGGGAAUCUUACGCAAUGGGCGAAAGCCUGACGGAGCAACGCCGCGUGAGUGAUGAAGGUCUUCGGAUCGUAAAACUCUGUUAUUAGGGAAGAACAAAUGUGUAAGUAACUAUGCACGUCUUGACGGUACCUAAUCAGAAAGCCACGGCUAACUACGUG
rnacentral:rRNA from 1 species